UACAGGUGCUGCAUGGCUGUCGUCAGCUCGUGCUGUGAAGUGUUGGGUUAAGUCCCGCUAACGAGCGCAACCCCUGCUAUCUGUUGCCAGCAAGUGAUGUUGGGGACUCAGAUGGAACUGCCGGUGACAAACCGGAGGAAGGUGGGGACGACGUCAAGUCAUCAUGCCCCUUAUGAUCUGGGCUACACACGUGCUACAAUGGCCGGUACAACGGGCAGCGAAGGAGCGAUCCGGAGCGAAUCCUAAAAAGCCGGUCCCAGUUCGGAUUGCAGGCUGAAACUCGCCUACAUGAAGUUGGAGUUGCUAGUAAUCGCGAAUCAGAAUGUCGCGGUGAAUGCGUUCCCGGGUCUU
rnacentral:rRNA from 1 species